rnacentral:rRNA from 1 species
UACGUAGGUGGCGAGCGUUGUCCGGAUUUACUGGGCGUAAAGAGCGCGCAGGCGGUCGUUCAAGUCGAGUGUGAAAGCCCCCGGCUCAACUGGGGAGGGUCACUCGAUACUGAUCGACUCGAAGGCAGGAGAGGGAAGUGGAAUUCCCGGUGUAGUGGUGAAAUGCGUAGAUAUCGGGAGGAACACCAGUGGCGAAGGCGACUUCCUGGCCUGUUCUUGACGCUGAGGCGCGAAAGCCAGGGGAGCAAACGGG